GCACGAAAGGCGUAACGAUUUGGGCACUGUCUCAACGAGAGACUCGGUGAAAUCAUAGUACCUGUGAAGAUGCAGGUUACCCGCGACAGGACGGAAAGACCCCGUGGAGCUUUACUGUAGCCUGAUAUUGAAAUUCGGCACAGCUUGUACAGGAUAGGUAGGAGCCAUUGAAACGUGAGCGCUAGCUUACGUGGAGGCGUUGGUGGGAUACUACCCUAGCUGUGUUGGCUUUCUAACCCGCACCACUUAUCGUGGUGGGAGACAGUGUCAGGCGGGCAGUUUGACUGGGGCGGUCGCCUCCUAAAAGGUAACGGAGGCGCUCAAAGGUUCCCUCAGAAUGGUUGGAAAUCAUUCACAGAGUGUAAAGGCAUAAGGGAGCUUGACUGCGAGACCUACAAGUCGAGCAGGGUCGAAAGACGGACUUAGUGAUCCGGUGGUUCCGCAUGGAAGGGCCAUCGCUCAACGG
rnacentral:rRNA from 1 species